rnacentral:tRNA from 2 species
AAAAAGAUAAGCUAAGUAAGCUCGUGGGCUCAUACCCCAUUUAUGAGGUCAAAAUCCUCUCUUUUUA